rnacentral:rRNA from 1 species
GAUGAACGCUGGCGGCGUGCCUAAUACAUGCAAGUCGAGCGAACGGACGAGAAGCUUGCUUCUCUGAUGUUAGCGGCGGACGGGUGAGUAACACGUGGAUAACCUACCUAUAAGACUGGGAUAACUUCGGGAAACCGUAGCUAAUACCGGAUAAUAUUUUGAACCGCAUGGUUCAAAAGUGAAAGACGGUCUUGCUGUCACUUAUAGAUGGAUCCGCGCUGCAUUAGCUAGUUGGUAAGGUAACGGCUUACCAAGGCAACGAUGCAUAGCCGACCUGAGAGGGUGAUCGGCCACACUGGAACUGAGACACGGUCCAGACUCCUACGGGAGGCAGCAGUAGGGAAUCUUCCGCAGUGGGCGAAAGCCUGACGGAGCAACGACGCGUGAGUGAUGAAGGUCUUCGGAUCGUAAAACUCUGUUAUUAGGGAAGAACAUAUGUGUAAGUAACUGUGCACAUCUUGACGGUACCUAAUCAGAAAGCCACGGCUAACUACGU